UACGGGGGGGGCAAGCGUUGUUCGGAAUUACUGGGCGUAAAGCGUGCGCAGGCGGUUUUGUAAGACUGUCGUGAAAUCCCCGGGCUCAACCUGGGAAUGGCGAUGGUGACUGCAAGGCUAGAGUUUGGCAGAGGGGGGUAGAAUUCCACGUGUAGCAGUGAAAUGCGUAGAUAUGUGGAGGAACACCGAUGGCGAAGGCAGCCCCCUGGGUCAAAACUGACGCUCAUGCACGAAAGCGUGGGGAGCAAACAG
rnacentral:rRNA from 1 species